rnacentral:rRNA from 1 species
AUUGAACGCUGGCGGCAGGCCUAACACAUGCAAGUCGAGCGGAUGAACGGUGCUUGCUCCUGCAUUCAGCGGCGGACUGGUGAGUAAUUCCUAGGAACCUGCCUGUCUGUUGUGUCUAACGUCCUGACACGGGCGCUCAUACCGCAUACGUCCUUACGACGUAAGUGGGGGAUCUUCGGACCUCCCGCUCUCAGAUGAUCCUAGGUCGGAUUAGCUAGUUGGUGGGGUAAAGGCCUAACAAGGCGACGAUCCGUAACUGGUCUGAGAGGAUGAUCAGUCACAAUGGAAAUGAGAAAAGGUCCAGAAUCCUAAGGGAGGCAGCAGGGGGGAAUAUUGGACAAAGGGCGAAAGCCUGAACCAGGCAAGCCGGGGGUGUGAAGAAGGGCUUCGGAGUGUAAAGCACUUUAAGUUGGGAGGAAGAGCAGUAAGUUAAUAACUUGCUGGUUUGAAGGGAACAACAGAAUAAGCAACGGCUAACUUCGUG